CCUCACGCGGGGUCUCUUGCGGGAGCUGGGUGCCUCUCUGGUGCUAUUUGACGACGACGGCAUCAGGUCGGAGAUUGAGCAUGCCAAGGCCAACCUUCCACAGUUGGCCUUCGAUGGUGUUGGU
rnacentral:SRP_RNA from 14 species